GCAAGCUGGGUCACACAAGUGGCCUGAGCGAGCUGCGGGUGGGCGGCGGUGCCAUGAACCUGGGAGAUGGUUUAAAGCUUGAAACGGAAUUAUUGGAUGGAAAGACCAAGCUAAUACUGUCUCCGUAUGUCUUACCUCGGAAAGAAUGUUGAAAUAAAAGUGAAAUGGGAGUGAAUACCUGAACCGCCACAUUGUAAAAGUUGGAGUAUUCAGAUGGGAAAUAAGAUCAAGAUUGCAAAAUAUUCUUUAAGAACAAAACAGACUGGACAUACUUUAAAGUCAACACAAAAUACUUACAUUGGGAGUGAAAAUCUUUCUCAAAAGAAGAUCUCUACUUCAGACACUUCACAAGCAA
rnacentral:lncRNA from 1 species